CCUACGGGCGGCAGCAGUGAGGAAUAUUGGUCAAUGGGCGCGAGCCUGAACCAGCCAAGUAGCGUGAAGGAUGACUGCCCUACGGGUUGUAAACUUCUUUUAUAAAGGAAUAAAGUGAGGCACGUGUGCCUUUUUGUAUGUACUUUAUGAAAAAGGAUGGGCUAACUCCGUGCCAGCAGCCGCGGUAAUACGGAGGAUCCAAGCGUUAUCCGGAUUUAUUGGGUUUAAGGGACGCGUAGAUGGGUUGUUAAGUCAGUUGUGAACGUUUGGGGCUCAACCGUAAAAUUGCAAUUGAUCCUGGCAGUCUUGAGUACAGUUGAGGUAGGCGGAAUUCGUGGUGUAGCGGUGAAAUGCUUAGAUAUCACGAAGAACUCCGAUUGCGAAGGCAGCUUACUAAACUGCCACUGACAUUGAUGCUCGAAAGUGUGGGUAUCAAACAGGAUUAGAUACCCCUGUAGUC
rnacentral:rRNA from 1 species